rnacentral:snRNA from 1 species
AUCGCUUCUCGGCCUUUUGGCUGAGAUCAAGGGUAGUAUCUGUUCUUAUCAGUUUAAAAGUACCUAGUACUGAAAGUGUACAGUAUGCCUGUUACAAAGAUAGUGCAAAAGUGUACAUAUUUAUGUAUUCUUUUUAUUUAUAUAUUUUUAUUAUAUAGAGAGAGCAUG